rnacentral:rRNA from 1 species
UACGUAGGGUGCAAGCGUUGUCCGGAAUUAUUGGGCGUAAAGAGCGUGUAGGCGGCCAUACAGGUCAGCUGUGAAAACUCGAGGCUCAACCUCGAGACGUCGGUUGAAACCGUAUGGCUAGAGUCCGGAAGAGGAGAGUGGAAUUCCCGGUGUAGCGGUGAAAUGCGCAGAUAUCGGGAAGAACACCCGUGGCGAAGGCGGCUAUCUGGGACGGUACUGACGCUGAGACGCGAAAGCGUGGGGAGCGAACAGG